CAAGCACAAGUAAUUUGAUACAUAACAUCUCACAACAUAUACAUGUACAUAAAACAACUAGCUCUCCAUUUUCCACUUCCAUUCUCUAAUGAGGUGCAUGCAUUCAUCCUCCUAUUCAUUUUCCGAAGAGGGACUUGAACCACCAGAUGCCCUUGGUGUCAUUGGGACCUUCAUUGCCCGACGGUGGUGUCUCUGACUGAGGAGUCUUGUGGAGUUUCGACACAUCAUAACCUUCUUCCUUCGCCUUUUCCACCAGCUCGUUGUACACCUCUUCGUCUAUAUGGCUUUGCCUCGCCAAGAUCCAGAGACUCUUGCGCGAGGGCUGCCCGAUCACCGCAUACUGAUAAUCCUCAUCAACAUACAGCACCCAGUAAUCCCCCACCACCGGAAUCACCGGCAGAAACGGCGGCACGUAGAAUUUCACCUUCAGUUUCGCCUCAUCGCUCGCCGGAACGGCCUUGUACGCCACCCCCUCUAUGUAGUCGCGUUUGCCGUUGCUCCAGGUCUCGUUGAGAACGUGGAUGGUGGCGCCGUCGGCGUUGAGCGUGUAGGUGGCGCGCGUGUCGCAGCCGUUGUGGGGCUGGAAGAAGGAGGGAAACGAGGCGAUCUCGUACCACCGCCCCAUGUAGCGGACGACGUCGAGGCCCUUAACAACUUCCAUCUCUUG
rnacentral:misc_RNA from 1 species